ACAUUUAUGUGGUGCCCAAGAAUCGAACCCAGUGCCUCGCACAUGCUAGGUGAGUGCGCUACCACUUGAGCCACACCCCAGCCCUAACUGUGUGCUUUAAAAUGAUGAAUCUUAUGUUGUGAAAAUACAUUGCACACUCAAAAAAACAGAACACAAGAUUUGGGGAGCACUCAAGAAGUCUCAGGAGUUGGAACACCUUUGAAGGAGGUACGGGGAGCUUGUCUCGUGGAGCAAGGGGUAGGUAACCAGGGUUGCAGUGAUAUGUGGAUCAUGUGUUUUAAAAGCCAUAUUCUGGCUUUUAAAAAAAGGGAGGCUCAAGGUGGAAUUCUCAGCUAUUGUGGGGUCCCAGGAGACUCAGGUGGGCAUAUUAUCUCUGGGUGAAAGGCCUGGGUGGUGGAGGGAGGCAGAGCGUAUAAGAACCUGGCUUUUUGCUUAGGAUCUUCUGGGUUUUCCUGUUCUCUUUACCUGCCUUUGGGCUCACUAUUAAAACCUGGAAAGUCCCCCACAUAGUCUUUUCUUCCUGACCUCUGACCUCUGGCCUCUGGUCAGGCUUGCAGGCCAGCGCAACCUGUCACCGUCAGCCCCUUGCCCUGCCUGUCCUGCCUGUAGCUUUCAGAAAAGAACCAGAGCAAGCUGGAGAGAGGUGGUGAAGGUGGGCAGAGGCCCCUCCAGAAUGACCGAAGGGGUGCCCGUGGGGCUGAUGUGGAUGCCCAAAGCAUCUACAGAGGAUACUGCCUGUGUCAGGCGCUGUUCUAGUGUUGACUCAUUUGUCCUCAUGGCAAUUUAAGGAGGUCUAUCCUUAAAAUUCCCAGUUGCAGAUAAGAAAAGUGAAGCAGCAAGAAUCAAGAAUGCCAGGGUUUGACCAGAUGCCAACCCUGGGACUCCCGCCCAGAGACGGUGCCUUACCCACCAAGUCAGGGUCUCAGCGGUGUGAGUCUGUAUGACUGUCCACUCCGAGUGGCCCAGGGAUGAGAUGAGGCUCACCCUUGAAGUUGAAGAGACUUAAGAUGAGGAAGUGAGGCCACUAAGAGCCUUCUAAAAGCAAAGGCCUGUGGUCCCCAAAGGGAUGACUAGCACUUCAGCUGUGAUGGGACAGGCACCUGCUGGUCCCCUCCUGGGGCAGUUUAGAGGGGGCCAACUCCAGGGCUUGGUGUAGUCUGGAGAGUCAGGACUGAGACCGUGGGCAGAUUCAGAGGAUGGGCUGGGGAUAAAAAGAGAAACUAAGGUCCCACAGGGGCUUUCCGCAGCAGUGCCGCCAGAAAGCCCUGAACUCAACCCAGGCACCCAAGACUGACAAGGCUCUGGACUAGUGGCUGGAGAAGCCCCCCGAGAGGCCAAGGCCACAGAGACACCCUCACAGGACUUGUGCCGGAAAUCAGUGAGGGGUCAAGUAGGACAGUGGAGAAUUUGAGGAGAAAGCAGAUAAAGAAGAGAAAGCUCCAUCUCCAUCAGAAGAGAUCUGCCUCCCCCAAGGAGCCUGAUGGCAGGUGUGUGCCAGGUUGGGAGUACUGUGUCCUUAGUCACAAAGAGACACAGACAGGGGACUGUCAGCUGGUGCUGGAGGAGCCGAACAACGAGUCAUCAGCCACUGGAAACACCUGAGAGUGACCGUUCCACGGCAGCCCCGUGCCCCACGCCAGCACUAGCAUGUAGCCAUUUGGUUCCUGAUUGAAGCAGGGGUCUGGAACCCAAAUCACAGUGCCACUCGAACUUAGAAAGUGUUCCGUCUUCUCACUGCCUCCUUUCUGCUCCCCCUCCAAGCAGCUGGCAGGUUGAGCCCAGGGUAGAGCCAACAUACAGGACCAGGACUCUGGGUGUGAAGAUUCCAGGCUACCAAGACAGACCCUCUGAGGUCCAUACUCAGAGUUUCCCAGGGACUUGAAGUUUCUCCCUACAUGGACUCCUCUUCUCUCUCAUCUACCUGCACACCCAGUCAAAAUGCCACUCACAAGAAUGUCCCCACCCUCCACCUGUGCUCUGUACUGGCACUGCCAAAACUAAAGUACAGAUUCAAGAUACAGUGAUGACCACAUGUCCACAGACUUUGGACUUGGCUAAAUCUGAGUUUGAGUUCCAUUUCUGCUGUGUAUUAGUCUGAUGGUCCCCGUAAGUGAAUCUGCCUCUGUGCAUUUCAGUUUUCUCAUCUGUGUAAGGGGAUAAUAAAAUCCAAUCUUGUGGGGGUUGUUCUGAGGAUUAAAAGAGAUGAGUCCAGCUCUGA